AGGCCUACCAUGGUGGUAACGGGUAACGGGGUGUUAGGGCACGACACCGGAGAGGGAGCCUGAGAAACGGCUACCACAUCCAAGGAUGGCAGCAGGCGCGCAAAUUACCCAAUCCCGACACGGGGAGGUAGUGACAAUAAAUAACAAUACGGGGUUCUUUCGGAUCUCGUAAUUGGAAUGAGUACAAUUUAAAUCUCUUAACGAGGAACAAUUGGAGGGCAAGUCUGGUGCCAGCAGCCGCGGUAAUUCCAGCUCCAAUAGCGUAUAUUAAAGUUGUUGCAGUUAAAAAGCUCGUAGUUGAAUUUCGGGGUUAGUAGGUUGGUCAUGCCUCUGGUAUGUACUGAUCUCACUGAUUCCUCCUUCCUGAUGAACCGUAAUGCCAUUAAUUUGGUGUUGCGGGGAAUUUGGACUGUUACUUUGAAAAAAUUAGAGUGUUUAAAGCAAGCUAACGCUUGAAUACAUUAGCAUGGAAUAAUGAAAUAGGACGUUCGAUCCUAUUUUGUUGGUUUCUAGGAUUGACGUAAUGAUUAAUAGGGAUAGUUGGGGGCAUUAGUAUUCAAUUGUCAGAGGUGAAAUUCUUGGAUUUAUUGAAGACUAACUACUGCGAAAGCAUUUGCCAAGGAUGUUUUCAUUAAUCAAGAACGAAAGUUAGGGGAUCGAAGACGAUCAGAUACCGUCGUAGUCUUAACCAUAAACUAUGCCGACUAGGGAUCGGAUGAUGUAAUUUU
rnacentral:rRNA from 1 species